GAUGAACGCUGGCGGCAUGCCUAACACAUGCAAGUCGAUCGGUAAGGCUCUUCGGAGUACACGAGAGGCGGACGGCUGAGUAACGCGUAGGAACACACCCUGCAGUGAGGGAUAAAACACCGAAAGGUGUUCUAAUACCGCAUACGGUCUUCGGAUUAAAGCAUUUAUGCGCUGAAGGAGUGGCCUGCGUCAUAUUAGAUAGUUGGUGAGGUAAUGGCUCACCAAGUCGAUGAUGUGUAGCUGGUCUGAGAGGAUGAUCAGCCAGACUGGAACUGAGACACGGUCCAGACUCCUACGGGAGGCAGCAGUGAGGAAUAUUUCACAAUGAGCGAAAGCUUGAUGGAGCAAUGCCGCGUGCAGGAUGAAGGCCCUCGGGUUGUAAACUGCUUUUAUAAGAGAAGAUUAUGACGGUAACUUAUGAAUAAGGGACGGCUAACUACGUG
rnacentral:rRNA from 1 species